AUGGCCUUGCAUCCAUCUGGCCCUGUUGUGUUCAUGGAGCCACUGUACCAUGGUCAAGACCGAGACCCGCGAACGUUAAGUUCUUCCACGAUGCCCGAACGAUUACAGGCCGAAACGCCAAGUCCCACUUCAACAAGUGUACCUCUACUUCGGAUUCACCAAGUACCCCUUCGGAUGCGCCUAGUUCGACUACAUGGACCACCAAGUUCCUCUACCGUCGACCCGAACAUCUAG
rnacentral:rRNA from 1 species